CGCCUCUCUCAGUUGCUCCUGCCCAGGGAGGUGGCCCCGCUUCCCAUCAUUCCAGGCACGGAUCACCCUUGUGGGGAGUUCAGGAUUUCAGAGGGGCCUUGCUCCAAGCCUGCUGGAAGUCCAGCCUCGGCACAGAAACCUGAGGAAGAGAAAGGAGCAGGCAUGUGAGUCCUUCCCUGGCCCCUAGGGCACCAAACGAAGGACCCACUCCAGGCUGGUGCGAGCGUAUUGCUGUUGGGGAUGGCGCGGUGCACAGCGUGGAGGCUCCGCGUCCAUUGCCCAGACCCGGUCGCCGAGGCUGGGCCACUCCGAGUCCUUGCGAGGCUGGACACCCGGCUGGGGCCUGCGGGCCUGAGCGGCCAGCAGCAGUCAGGCCCUCCCUCCCUGGCCCCGAACCCGGGCCGGCCGCUGGAGGAGGAGCCUCUCGGAUUUCUUCCCGCCUUGUUCCCGGCAGCUCUGCGCAGAUGUCCUCCCGCGGGGCCUCCUGGGGCGCGUUUCAGGGGCCCGUGGCCGUCUAGGGGUAAGAACCGCGGGGCGAGGCGCCACCACCUCCUGGUCCUGCUCAGGGAGCACCUGGCCAGGAUGCGGAGUUCCAGGGGCGGGGCGAAGAGUCUGGGCCCCUCUUGCGCUCCCGGUCCCCGGCUGACCAGGCCUCCUUUCUGCCUCCCAGGCCCUCCACGGGGAGAAAUUAUUUGCCUCCUGUUAAAAUGGAGGAAACCGAGGCCCAGAGAGGUCAGGUCACUUUGUCAAGUUCAGCAGUCGGGUUUUGAGCGGAACCUUGAAGCUGGACGUUUGGGAAAGGGAAGAUGGCAGUUUGCAGGGGCGCAGCUGGAGCAAAGGAAUGGAGGUGGCCCUCGGAUGCAGGGGCUGCAGAGGGAGGUGGAGGCAGAGAGCAAGGCUGGGCUGGAGGAUGAGGGCCCAGGACACAGGAUGCAUCUGGGCAAGGUCAGUGGAGGCUUAGCUGGGCUUCCGAGAAUUCAUCGGUCAGAUCCAACAAGGGGGAGAAGCAAUGGGGUUGUCCAGUGUUUGCUGGAGAAAAAAAAAAAAAAAAA